rnacentral:lncRNA from 1 species
ACUAUCUUCUCCUUUGAUGGCGUUUUCCUGCCUCUUUUGCAAUCCUUUAUAUAGAUAGAGCAAGGAAAGCGUGUGCAGAGGCAAGCAGUGGGUUAUGGUAGACUUGAGUUGGUGUGAGCAGUUUGCUUCACAUUUA